rnacentral:sRNA from 1 species
CCUGUCGUCUAGUGGAAGACACUGGCCGGGACACAGAGUCCACGUGUGGACACCGCUGUGGGUUGGUGGCAGGGGUCGAGAAGGUGCCAUCAGGCACAUGAACGGUGGAGUCUUCAAAGCAGAGAUGGGGUUUCACCCUGUUAGCCAGGAUGGUCUCAAUCUCCUGACCUCAUGAUCCACCCGCCUCGGCCUCCCAAAGUGCUCGGAUUACAGGCAUGAGCCACCGCGCCCGGCCAAGCACGGAGUGCCUUCUGAGGUGUGAGCAGCUGCCGGAAGGGGAGGUGCUCCUGAAGACACUGCGGCCGGCCCGCCUGUGCCCUUGGUGCCCUGGCUGCCUAGAGAGCCUCACCCCUGAGCCCUGGGGCCAGGACUCCAGGACUCUGACCACCUGCCCUCCCCCAGCCUCAGCGGCUGCACCUCCUCAUUAGUACUGAUGCACUGACCUCGGCACACAGCUGGGAGGGGUUGGGGGGCUGGGUCAUGGCUGCUCCCAGGCCCCACCCAGGCUCCUGAGCCUAGAAGGUGAAAAGAGGGCUCCAGGGGCUCACAGGGGCUCUC